rnacentral:lncRNA from 1 species
AAUGGGUGGUGCUCGGGUACGCCGCCGGCGCCGAGGCCAUAAUGCUCCUCCUGCUAACCCUCCCACAACCCAUAAACCCUCUGCGGAAAGGUCUGAUAUCAGUGACCAAAGCCCUCCUAAAACCCUUCCUCUCAGUGGUUCCAUUUUGCCUGUUCCUGCUGAUGGACAUCUACUGGAAGUACGAGACUCGACCCACUUGCUCUUCCCACCACUGCUCUCCUUCCGACCACCUCCGCCACCAGAAAUCCAUGAUGAAGAGCCAGCGCAACGCCACCUUGAUUGCCGCUGCUUUGCUCUUCUACUGGUUGCUUUAUUCUGUC